rnacentral:rRNA from 1 species
GACGAACGCUGGCGGCGUGCCUAAUACAUGCAAGUUGAGCGAUGAAGAUUGGUGCUUGCACCAAUUUGAAGAGCAGCGAACGGGUGAGUAACGCGUGGGGAAUCUGCCUUUGAGCGGGGGACAACAUUUGGAAACGAAUGCUAAUACCGCAUAACAACUUUAAACAUAAGUUUUAAGUUUGAAAGAUGCAAUUGCGUCACUCAAAGAUGAUCCCGCGUUGUAUUAGCUAGUUGGUGAGGUAAAGGCUCACCAAGGCGAUGAUACAUAGCCGACCUGAGAGGGUGAUCGGCCACAUUGGGACUGAGACACGGCCCAAACUCCUACGGGGGGCAGCAGUAGGGAAUCUUCGGCAAUGGACGAAAGUCUGACCGAGCAACGCCGCGUGAGUGAAGAAGGUUUUCGGAUCGUAAAACUCUGUUGGUAGAGAAGAACGUUGGUGAGAGUGGAAAGCUCAUCAAGUGACGGUAACUACCCAGAAAGGGACGGCUAACUACGUG